UGGUUGUGCUGUGAGGAGGAAGGGACAGGGGACAGGAGGUUGUGCAAGGGACAGAAAGGGGAAGGCAGCUGUGCUAGGGAUAGGAAGGAGUGAGCUGGAAAUGCAGAAGGAAGGAAGAAAGAAGGGGGAGUGAAAGAGCCAGAGCUGUGUGGAUUUACUCAUGGGACUACAACUGAGAAAAGCUCUGCUCAGUCUCUGUUCCAGCUCAGCCUUCCCAAAGCAUCACACGUGUGGCAUCCUCUGUUCAGCUGCGUUUACUGGAGUGCAGUGAUGCUCUUUGGAUCCACUUCAGGGCUCUCCAAAGUGCCACAUCUCUGCUGUGCCUGUUCCCUGGGGAUUUCGGGUUUGCCCUCUUGCAAUCUGCCCUGCACAGCUCAGUGCCUGCGUAUCAAGUGCCUUUCCCUUGCUCCUGUCAUGCUGGAGGUGAGCUCUGCUGUUAAUUAAGCAUGGAUCAAUGCAGAAUUCCCUCAUCAUCACCCUGUACAUUUCGACAUGAGGACAAUUUCUGGUUCGAUUUGCCAUCAGCUCCUGCAGCUCAAACCGCUCCAAAGGGAUGUGUAAUGAGGAGCUGGAUCCCACUGCUUCGACUCUGAGGUUACUCAAGGAUAUUGUAGAGAGUCCUGUUCAGAGCCAGAGUUCCCCCUAAUAAAUUUUAGAGACAAGGAGCUGAGUCUCUCCUGGAGAAGAUGCUGAGAAGAUUCCUCAGAGAAGGAGAACAUUGCAGGACAUUUCCAGAGCUCCUUUUACCUCUGCCCAGCUGUGAUUCCCAGGAUUCACUGUGAAAUUUCAGGCCGUGGGAAGGAGAAACAUCCACUUUGGAAAACCAUUCUCCCCUUGGCAACAUCACAGCACAAAAAUGGCACCGAGAGCACGAGCAGGAUGUGGGUUUGAGCUCUUUAUCGAGAAGACAUUUCAAGGCAAGUACUAUCAAGGAGGUUUCCAAAACACUUGAGGGGAAUUAAGACAGCUUCUCGAAGGUAUUUUGUUUGUCGCUUUGUAGCUGUAGGAUUUGAGUUGCCCAUCAUCUUUAAAUAUAGACCAAAAUUCUUUACAAUUCUGGUGUUUAUCAGCAAGACUUGAGAUCUAGUGGUCAUACACCGAAUAUUUGCCAUCCAGGAGAGAUAUCACAAAUACCUGUGCUUAUAAAGGGCUCGCAAAGAUUGGUAGGGGGAUCCAUGUUUUUGGAAAUGGACCUACACUGCCAUGGGUUAAAUGGGAAAGGAAGCAAAUAUUGAGGAGUAAAUAGAGCUGUGAUAAUUUAUUACAAGAGAUUUUUUUCUAUAUACAUAAUAGCAUGCUGUAAAGCAAUAGAUCAUGUGAGAUGAAGCCAUAGCAUGACAAGAUGGAUCAUUUAAGAUAUUAAAUGGUGUUUUUCUGUGUGCUGUUGCUAUCCAAAGUCUAUUAAAAAAGUAUCGGACAGGGUAUUUUUUCCCAUCAUUCUUGCAUGCUUAGGCCUGGCUUAGUAAAUACAUUGCAUCAUUAGCUCCUGCCUGUGUUCAGCUUUUAGAACAGUUUACAGUUCUGAAACCACUUCAUUGAAAAUUGUCAUUUUAUUGGUGUGUAUUAGGGAAAAAAAAAUCAUUUGGGAACAAAGGAGAGGAGUGUCAUGCUGUGUUGUAGGAUCCAUACCCAGAUCUAGCUGGAAAAUGGCAUUGCUUGAGUACAGCAUUUUUGUGUUUCUGAGGAGCAUUACGAGAGGCUGGAUUGUCUUCCAGUGAGGAAUUAACUACUAGCCAGUGUUGAAAGAAGGAUAUAGGAUUUCAUGGACCAGCGGGCUAAUACGAUGUGAAAUCCUAUUUUCCUAUCAUCCAAGUGUCUACAGAAUUCCAAGUUAAUGUACUUUAUAUUAUAUCGUUGCCACCUGUUUAUAUUAUCGGUAGUUUGAAUAUUUAAGCAUGACACACUCCAUUUCCUACCAGUUUGCCUGUAUUUCCAGAAUGGAUUCUCCCAGUGUUUCCACACUUAGUUUUUGGUCUCCUUUUUCCCCUUCAAAAUGAGUAUUGUGGCCUAGCAUGACUCGUUUAAAUUUUCAUUAAGAAAUUAUAUAGUUCACAGCACGGAUUUAAUUGAUCACACCCUUACCUGGUGUAAAUCAACCCAAGCAGCAUUAAUCCUAACAAGGUUUCUCACCAGCUGAGGAUCUGCUCCGGUGGAUUUUUUGUGCUCUCAAAGCUGAGGAAGAGCAAAUCAUCAAAAAAACCCCCAUCUUUGAAGAUGGGCUCCCUUCUGGCCGAAAAUCACAUUUCGCCAUCGUGCGCACAUUGAGGGAACAUCGUAAAUCUCACAAUUAUUCCAAUUGAAGUCAAACAACAGGAAUAAAUUAGAGAAGAGUGGAGAGCCCUUUCUUUGGAGAGCUACAGAUGAGAUCCAUACCAAAGACAGUAUUUAUUAGAGACAGAAUGAGAUUUUUAUAACAGCCCUGCAAAAUUAGUUUUUAGAAGUUCCCACUUCCCAUCGGCAGCCAAGGGAUGAGGGGACUUCAUAUUGUGGUACCAGGAGCAGCCUGAUGUGAAAACACAGCUCUGUCUCCACGGGAGUGACAAGGCACUGCUGAGGGUUGAUGUCACCAGUAUUUGCACUUCCUCUGUGAGGGACAAAUGUCACGGAAACAGAUCUGGCCCUGGAGAAGAGUGGCAUCACUCAGCUUAUCCUUAGGACAAGGAGAGCUGGAAGUCUGAAUUGACUUUUUGGUCUCAACUCCGAGAGUGAAUCCACGGCUCCGUUGCUCGGAAGGGAGCACAAGCUUUUCCUGACGGGGCAGCAAGAGAUUCCCAGAAGAAGGAAUUCACAAUUCCCACCCACGCUGGGAGCACCUCACGUCCCUUCCCUGUGUGCACAGGAGAAUGAACAACUGGGAGAGGAACACCGGGAGCUAAGGGAUCCUGUUCAGAACUUUAGGAGCACAUGGUUCCUUCUCCAAGGUCCUUCUGGUCUAAAAGGAGAAUUAAGAGCUCUCGUUGGAGCAGCUGUAGACUGGAGUCUUGCAUCCCCUGAUUGGUGCAGGUGUCUUGCUGACCCAAGGACUGGCUGAUUGUCAGCAGAGCAGCAGGACAUUCAUCCCAUGCCUUACAGGCAGAUUCUUGGGAAGGCUCAGGUCACUCUGAGUGACACGAACGGCGAGGAGAUCACGAAACACCGCACAUCUUAAAACACCUCCUUGUCUUGUGCACAGCUCUGCCUCCCCAGCCCUUGGUACUUUUUCUAAAUAUCUAUUUAAUGUCAGCUUCAUUUGUUUUAAUUCACUCCAAUAUUCCAGACCAGCAGCAGCUGAAACACCUAUUUCUGCAAUUAGUGCAAUCUUGCUCCUGCAUGAUAAUCUUUUCUCCAAGCUGCUGCCAGCUCUGAGAAGUGCACUUAGAAGAGAACUUGACUCUCAGUUGACUUCAGGAUAACUGGAAGUGAUGUAACCUUCAGGAGCAAAUGCUGGUGGAAAAAACAUCAUGUAAUUUAAUUUCCAGGUGGAGGGGCAGACAGUAGAAUUCCAGAUUUCACCUUUUCUGCACUGAAAUUCGAGGUUUGAGCACUAUUCAGUAAUAAAAAGCUGUCUGCUCAUCACAGGGCUUUGUUCUCUCACUGUGCCAAGGUGACCCAAUGUUUUUUCUUGUGAACUCAGGAGUUAUGAAGAACUCAGGCUCUUAACUGAUCACACCAAACCUUUGAACCAUCUCCAGACUGAGAACACUGCUCGUGCGUCCUGUAGGGAAGGACAAUUUUGCAAAGGAAAAAUCUUCUCUGGGUUUUGUUUUGUGCCCCCAGGACAACUCUGACACUGAGAUCUAUUCUGAAGGUCUGAUCAAUGUGGAUUGAUUUAUUUGGGAAGCUCCCACAGUGACUUUGCCCACGGAGCCAGGUCUGCUGUUCAUGAGACUCCUUCCACAAGAAAGGGCUUUUGGUUUUAUCCACCUCAAGCGAUGCAGGGCAGCACAAAGGAAGAAUCCAGCUUGACAUCCAAGGAAUUGGUGUCAGCUAAAAAUCUGAGACGAUUUCACAGACCAGGAUGUGUGGUUGUGGUGCUUCCAGAAGAAAUGAUGUGCUCGUGUGUCCCUGCAGCAUCACUCACAGCCUGGCCAGCCCUGGCACAGUGACACAUCUCGUGGGUUGGUGUCAUCCCCACUCUCCCAGCGUGUGAGCUCUGCUGGUUGAAUUCCGAGUUUUCACAGACACAUAAAUAAACGUCGGUGCCUGGUGUCAGUCCAGCAGCAGCCAGACCAUACUGGUGGUGCCACUGCCAUGGAGGAGCUCUGGCACCGGGAGAGGGCAUCACAAGCCCUGAACCUCUCCCAGUGUGGCCCAGGGCUGGGAUUUCCUGCAAGCCAAAGGUUUCUCUUCCUUCAUUCCCAUGUCCAGCACUACCUCACAAUCUGACUUGGGAACUCUGGGGUUCUGAUGCCUUGGGAAGGCUGAGCUGGAACAGAGACGGACAGAGCUGGAGAAUAAAGCAGAGAUUUAUUGAAAGGCCUCCAGGAUCCACCUUGGGCAGGACAAGAGCCUGGCCAGGGCUGCACCCAAGGUGGAACCAAAAUGGUCCCAAAAUGGACCAAGGGUCACGAGGUCUCACACUUGGAUCAGUUUUGGUCCAUUUGCACUUUGGGGUUGAAUUGUCCCCUUCCAGCUGCAGGCUGUGAGGUCCCAUCCUUCUUGUUCCUCCCUCCAGCCACCCUUGUUUGUGCUUUUGGGGCUGAAAGUUGUCCUUGGUGUGCAGCAGGAACAGGAUUUGUUUUGUGUCCCUGUGAUAUUGAAUGUGAGCUCAGAGCUGCACCCCUGAGGGAGUGAGAUUUUCCUGCAGGUGUUACUGAGUUGACAAACACUCCUCCAGAGGCUGCCAUCCCAGGCUGGCACCACCCAGAGCAGGGAUCAGCAGAGAGCUGAAGAGCUGCCCGAGAGAAGCAAACCACGGACAAUCCUGCACAAAGGUGUGAGCGUCAUUAGGGAAACAGCGUCAGGGAAUUUGCCUGUCCUCUUUUCUCCUGCCCAGACUGUGUGAAUUAGCUCGCGGUGGUUUUUUGUUCUCUGCUCAAGUCUUGCAAUCUGAUUUACAGCCCUCGAACAGGCUGAGGAAAACUGAAUAAAGAGGGAGGGAGCAGCGAGCGAAUGGAGGACGGAGAAGCAGAGAGGAGCUGCUCCAUGGAUGGACUGCAGAGAAGGUGGGAUAGAAAGCCCCUGGAGAAUUUAAUCAUCUCUUGCCCUUUUUGCAACCAGACACAUUUUCCUGGCCUGUUCACACCAGUCCAUGUGUCUGCCAGCUGCCUCUUGCAGGCUCUGAAAGAGGGCAUUGAGCCUCUCUGAGAAAAUGCCUUGGCUCACGGGCUCAGAGCAUCAGACUGGCUCCACACAGGGCUGGAGCUCCAAAAAAACCGGUCUGGUGUGCCAAGCAAGGAACUGGGAGCAGAGGUUUGGAGGAUUCGUGUUAUCCCAGGUGAAAUAAUGCAUCAUUAUCUCCAGCCUUGGAACACUGAGAGCUGUUGAAUUUCCUCAGGUGUCCUUCCCCAGAUCACCACUGUCAUCCUUGGCACGUGUUUAUAUCCUCAUGUCUUUGAUCCUGCGACUUCAGGAAACGCAUGAAAUGAAAUCUGAGAAAAUGAAAUAAAUUGCAGAAGCACAAGGAAUGUCCUAACAAAAGGUGCACCGGGUGAAAUUGGGUGUGAUGAGGCGUCCCCUCAGGCAAAUCCUCGGGUAUUCCCUCAGCAGGGUGAUGCUGCCUGCAGGUGGGGACAGAAAUUCACACCAGCAGGCUUUCCUGUGGAUGUGGCCAUCCUGGGAACGCCUCUGUGGCAGCGCUUUUGGCUCUCUGUGCUUAUUUAAUCUGUCUCCAAAACAGCGUCCUCCUCUUUAUUCAGCUUGGAAGCUGCACGGAGGGGUUCCCUGUCUACCUGCCCUCCUCGCACAGCCAGCGUUCAGGAGCUCAGCAGCCCUUGGACAGCUUGUUUCCAUAACAACAGAGGAGGAAAAACCUGACGAGUCCCUCGGUAACUGCAUGCGGGGCUGCCUGGAGCAGCCCCCCGAACCCCCAGAAAAUUCCCUUUUCCUCCCACCAGCCUCUCCUCCCACCUCCCUUGAGGGAAACUGAAAUUCUGUCGAGGUGGGAGCUGGGAUGAGCAGCUCAGCUCUGACCCUCACGCUGGCAUCGUGGGACCACGGGACGGAAGCACAGCCUGGUGAGAAACCCUCCUCAGCCCAUGGAGCACACACCUGUGCUGCCAGCAUUCCCAUUCCACCGCCGCUGUUGGCACCAGCCCCUGCCUGGUCUCUGCAGUUUUGGAUCUUGUCUCAGGAGUGAGCACACAGCCCACGCAACACUGAACUCGUGGUCAUCACUGCAACAGAAAUAAUAACAAUAAUAAUAGAUUAUCCUGCAGGCAAAACAGACCCUGUGCAAAUUGGACAGCCAAGAUUCCGCCCUAGCCGCUGGACCUGAAGGCAGUUUGGUGUUUUUCUCCUGGUUCAGAAGUGACUUGUUCCCCUAACGGGCAGGGGGCUCAUCCUGACCAGCGGAUCCCAGUUUCACAGGGCUGUCACUCCCCUGCCCAGCAGCAUCACUCCUGAUUUAUCCCAGCACCCAGGACACGCUCCUCUCUCACUCUGUUGUCCUUUUUUUAUUAAUCCCAGCUUGUCUCUGCCCUCUCUGGCACUCAUAACUCCAGAGGCACGAGUGAGAGCACUUACUCAGCACAGGUGAAAAGGCAGCUGCCAAUUAAAUCCCUGCACUUCAUUGUCAUUCCCAGGCCAGGCGGAGCCCUGGAGUGGGAGCAAUCCAUUUAUCCUCUCCUUGGGUCACACUCCAAGCCAAUAACCUCAUCAGUGUAAACACCCUUAAGCUUCCUUAUCCUCUCCAUCACACUUGAAGCCGUAUUUCACUUUCUCUCGCCUUCUGCGCGCUGAACUUGCAAUUUCCCCACGGCCUUGCCCGACUUCUCCCACCGACUCUGCAGUCACCCCACAGCAUGAGUGGGAAUCUCUGGCUUCCCACUUUUCCACCCAGUUACCUCCUUUUCUUUGGUGGAGCAAAAAUAGGUUUUUUGGGUGGCACAUAAGCUAAGGUUCCCUGGUCAUGAAGGGAACUAAUGAUUAGGACAAAGACAAAUAUUUAUCUUGAAGGAUAAAUACUGGCCAUAAAACUGUAGGGAAAAUAUUGUAUUUCACCUCUUCCUAUGUCAUGAUCUGUUUCUAAUGAGCUAAUACACAAUUUAUUUUAAAAAGAAAAGAGUUUCUAUCUAAAAUGACUCGAUUUUGAGCUACAUUGGUCAAUUAAUAUGUUAGGAACCAUCACAGGUGCCCCAU